CCUACGUGUGGCAGCAGUGGGGAAUAUUGCACAAUGGGGGAAACCCUGAUGCAGCAACGCCGCGUGAGUGAAGAAGUAUUUCGGUAUGUUAAGCUCUAUCAGCAGGGAAGAAGAUGACGGUACCUGAAUAAGAAGCCCCGGCUAACUACGUGCCAGCAGCCGCGGUAAUACGUAGGGGGCAAGCGUUAUCCGGAUUUACUGGGAGUAAAGGGAGCGCAGACGGCAGUGCAAGUCUGGAGUGAAAGCCCGGGGCCCAACCCCGGCACUGCGCCGGAAACUGUGCGGCUAGAGUACUGGAGGGGCAGGCGGAAUUCCUGGUGUAGCAGUGAAAUGCGUAGAUAUUAGGAGGAACACCAGUGGCGAAGGCGGGCUGCUGGACAGUAACUGACGUUGAGGCUCGAAGGCGUGGGGAGCAAACGGGAUUAGAUACCCUUGUAGUC
rnacentral:rRNA from 1 species